ACGUCUAUAUCACGUUGACAUACCGGUUCUCAUAUAACCACUGAAGUUAAGCAACGUCUAGCCUGGUCAGUAGCUAGAUGGGUGACCGCUUGAAAAUAUCAGGUGCUGUAA
rnacentral:rRNA from 1 species